UACGUAGGGGGCAAGCGUUGUCCGGAUUUAUUGGGCGUAAAGAGCGUGUAGGCGGUUAUACAGGUCCGCUGUGAAAACUGGAGGCUUAACCUCCAGACGUCGGUGGAAACCGUAUGACUAGAGUCCGGGAGAGGAGAGUGGAAUUCCUGGUGUAGCGGUGAAAUGCGCAGAUAUCAGGAAGAACACCCGUGGCGAAGGCGGCUCUCUGGGACGGUACUGACGCUGAGACGCGAAAGCGUGGGGAGCGAACAGG
rnacentral:rRNA from 1 species